ACGACGYCYAAUACUGGAUAUGACAGCCGAUCGCAUGGUCUGGUUGUGGAAAGAUUUUUUGGUUGGGGAUGGACUCGCGGCCUAUCAGCUUGUUGGUGAGGUAAUGGCUCACCAAGGCGACGACGGGUAGCCGGCCUGAGAGGGUGACCGGCCACACUGGGACUGAGACACGGCCCAGACUCCUACGGGAGGCAGCAGUGGGGAAUAUUGCACAAUGGGCGAAAGCCUGAUGCAGCAACGCCGCGUGAGGGACGACGGCCUUCGGGUUGUAAACCUCUUUUAGUAGGGAAGAAGGGGACYUUUGGUUCUUGACGGUACCUGCAGAAAAAGCACCGGCUAACUACGUGCCAGCAGCCGCGGUAAUACGUAGGGUGCAAGCGUUGUCCGGAAUUAUUGGGCGUAAAGAGCUCGUAGGCGGUUUGUCGCGUCUGCUGUGAAAUCCCGAGGCUCAACCUCGGGCUUGCAGUGGGUACGGGCAGACUAGAGUGCGGUAGGGGAGAUUGGAAUUCCUGGUGUAGCGGUGGAAUGCGCAGAUAUCAGGAGGAACACCGAUGGCGAAGGCAGAUCUCUGGGCCGUUACUGACGCUGAGGAGCGAAAGCAUGGGGAGCGAACAGGAUUAGAUACCCUGGUAGUCCAUGCCGUAAACGUUGGGCGCUAGAUGUAGGGACCUUUCCACGGUUUCUGUGUCGUAGCUAACGCAUUAAGCGCCCCGCCU
rnacentral:rRNA from 1 species